AUUGAACGCUGGCGGCAGGCCUAACACAUGCAAGUCGAGCGGCAGCGGAAAGUAGCUUGCUACUUUGCCGGCGAGCGGCGGACGGGUGAGUAAUGUCUGGGAAACUGCCUGAUGGAGGGGGAUAACUACUGGAAACGGUAGCUAAUACCGCAUAAUGUCGCAAGACCAAAGAGGGGGACCUUCGGGCCUCUUGCCAGCAGAUGUGCCCAGAUGGGAUUAGCUAGUAGGUGGGGUAACGGCUCACCUAGGCGACGAUCCCUAGCUGGUCUGAGAGGAUGACCAGCCACACUGGAACUGAGACACGGUCCAGACUCCUACGGGAGGCAGCAGUGGGGAAUAUUGCACAAUGAGCGCAAGCCUGAUGCAGCCAUGCCGCGUGUAUGAAGAAGGCCUUCGGGUUGUAAAGUACUUUCAGCGGGGAGGAAGGCGUUGUGGUUAAUAACCACAGCGAUUGACGUUACCCGCAGAAGAAGCACCGGCUAACUCCGUGCCAGCCGCCGCUGUAA
rnacentral:rRNA from 1 species